UUACACGACCGUACCGCAAACCGACACUGGUGCGCGAGAUGAGUAUUCUAAGGCGCUUGAGAGAACUCAGGAGAAGGAACUCGGCAAAUUGACACCGUAACUUCGGAAGAAGGUGUGCCUUUAGUAGGUGAACCUGUACAAGGGGAGCCCAAUGAGGUUGCAAAAAAUCGGUGGCUGCGACUGUUUAAUAAAAACACAGCACUCUGCAAACACGAAAGUGGACGUAUAGGGUGUGACGCCUGCCCGGUGCUGGAAGAUUAAAUGAUGGGGUGCAAGCUCUUGAUUGAAGUCCCAGUAAACGGCGGCCGUAACAAUAACGGUCCUAAGGUAGCGAAAUUCCUUGUCGGGUAAGUUCCGACCUGCACGAAUGGCGUAACGAUGGCACACUGUCUCCUCCUGAGACUCAGCGAAGUUGAAAUGUUUGUGAUGAUGCAAUCUCCCCGCGGAAAGACGGAAAGACCCCAUGAACCUUUACUGUAGCUUUGUAUUGGACUUUGAACAGAUCUGUGUAGGAUAGGUGGGAGGCUUUGAAGUGUGGUCGCUAGAUCGCAUGGAGCCAACGUUGAAAUACCACCCUGGUGUGUUUGAGGUUCUAACCUAGGCCCGUAAUCCGGGUCGGGGACAGUGCAUGGUAGGCAGUUUGACUGGGGCGGUCUCCUCCCAAAGCGUAACGGAGGAGUUCGAAGGUACGCUAGGUACGGUCGGACAUCGUGCUAAUAGUGCAAUGGCAUAAGCGUGCUUAACUGCGAGACUGACAAGUCGAGCAGAUGCGAAAGCAGGACAUAGUGAUCCGGUGGUUCUGUAUGGAAGGGCCAUCGCUCAACGGAUAAAAGGUACUCUGGGGAUAACAGGCUGAUACCGCCCAAGAGUUCAUAUCGACGGCGGUGUUUGGCACCUCGAUGUCGGCUCAUCUCAUCCUGGGGCUGUAGCCGGUCCCAAGGGUAUGGCUGUUCGCCAUUUAAAGAGGUACGUGAGCUGGGUUUAAAACGUCGUGAGACAGUUUGGUCCCUAUCUUCCGUGGGCGCUGCAGAUUUGAGGAAGCCUGCUCCUAGUACGAGAGGACCGGAGUGGACACACCUCUGGUGUAUCGGUUGUCACGCCAGUGGCAUUGCCGAGUAGCUAUGUGUGGAAGAGAUAACCGCUAAAAGCAUCUAAGCGGGAAACUCGUUUCAAGAUGAGAUCUGCCGGGGCCUUGAGCCCCCUAAAGAGUCGUUCAAGACCAGGACGUUGAUAGGUCGGGUGUGGAAGCGCAGUAAUGCGUUAAGCUAACCGAUACUAAUUGCUCGUGCGGCUUGACCAG
rnacentral:rRNA from 1 species